rnacentral:rRNA from 1 species
GAUGAACGCUGGCGGCGUGCCUAAUACAUGCAGGUCGAGCGAACAGACGAGGAGCUUGCUCCUCUGACGUUAGCGGCGGACGGGUGAGUAACACGUGGAUAACCUACCUAUCAGACUGGGAUAACUUCGGGAAACCGGAGCUAAUACCGGAUAAUAUAUUGAACCGCAUGGUUCAAUAGUGAAAGCCGGUUUUGCUGUCACUUAUAGAUGGAUCCGCGCCGCAUUAGCUAGUUGGUAAGGUAACGGCAUACCAAGGCAACGAUGCGUAGCCUAUCUGGGAAAGUGAUCGGCCACACUUGAACUGAGACACGGUCCAGACUCCUACGGGUGGCAGCAGUAGGAAAUCUUCCGCAAUGGGCGAAAGCCUGACGGAGCAACGCCGCGUGAGUGAUGAAGGUCUUCGGAUCGUAAAACUCUGUUAUUAGGGAAGAACAAAUGUGUAAGUAACUAUGCACGUCUUGACGGUGCCUAAUCAGAAAGCCACGGCUAACUACGUGCCAGCCGCCGCCGUAAGAC